rnacentral:rRNA from 1 species
CCUACGGGAGGCAGCAGUGAGGAAUAUUGGUCAAUGGACGAGAGUCUGAACCAGCCAAGUAGCGUGAAGGAUGACUGCCCUAUGGGUUGUAAACUUCUUUUAUAUGGGAAUAAAGUGUUCCACGUGUGGGAUUUUGUAUGUACCAUAUGAAUAAGGAUCGGCUAACUCCGUGCCAGCAGCCGCGGUAAUACGGAGGAUCCGAGCGUUAUCCGGAUUUAUUGGGUUUAAAGGGAGCGUAGGUGGAUUGUUAAGUCAGUUGUGAAAGUUUGCGGCUCAACCGUAAAAUUGCAGUUGAAACUGGCAGUCUUGAGUACAGUAGAGGUGGGCGGAAUUCGUGGUGUAGCGGUGAAAUGCUUAGAUAUCACGAAGAACUCCGAUUGCGAAGGCAGUUCACUGGACUGCAACUGACACUGAGGCUCGAAAGUGUGGGUAUCAAACAGGAUUAGAUACCCCUGUAGUC